rnacentral:rRNA from 1 species
UGGGGAAUUUUGGACAAUGGGCGAAAGCCUGAUCCAGCAAUGCCGCGUGUGUGAAGAAGGCCUUCGGGUUGUAAAGCACUUUUGUCCGGAAAGAAAUCCUUGGCUCUAAUACAGUCGGGGGAUGACGGUACCGGAAGAAUAAGCACCGGCUAACUACGUGCCAGCAGCCGCGGUAAUACGUAGGGUGCAAGCGUUAAUCGGAAUUACUGGGCGUAAAGCGUGCGCAGGCGGUUUGCUAAGACCGAUGUGAAAUCCCCGGGCUCAACCUGGGAACUGCAUUGGUGACUGGCAGGCUAGAGUAUGGCAGAGGGGGGUAGAAUUCCACGUGUAGCAGUGAAAUGCGUAGAGAUGUGGAGGAAUACCGAUGGCGAAGGCAGCCCCCUGGGCCAAUACUGACGCUCAUGCACGAAAGCGUGGGGAGCAAACAGGAUUAGAUACCCUGGUAGUCCACGCCCUAAACGAUGUCAACUAGUUGUUGGGGACUUCAUUUUCCUUAGUAACGUAGCUAACGCGUGAAGUUGACCGCCUGGGGAGUAC